rnacentral:rRNA from 1 species
GAUAAACGCUGGCGGCGUGCAUGAGACAUGCAAGUCGAACGAAGGAUCGGGCUUGCUCGAUCCUUAGUGGCGGACGGCUGAGAAACGCGUAGGUGACCUACCCCGAAGUGGGGAAUAACUGCCCGAAAGGGUGGCUAAUACCGCAUGUGGUCGCACGUUCAUUCGUGCGAGUAAAGCCGCAAGGCGCUUCGGGAGGGGCCUGCGUCCGAUUAGCUCGUUGGUGGGGUAAUGGCUUACCAAGGCGACGAUCGGUAGGUGGUCUGAGAGGACGAUCACCCAGACUGGGACUGAGACACGGCCCAGACUCCUACGGGAGGCAGCAGUCGGGAAUUUUGCUCAAUGGGGGAAACCCUGAAGCAGCAACGCCGCGUGAGGGAUGAAGGCCUUCGGGUUGUAAACCUCUUUUGUCAGGGACGAUGAUGACGGUACCUGGCGAAUAAGCCACGGCUAACUACGUG